rnacentral:rRNA from 1 species
CCUACGGGAGGCAGCAGUGAGGAAUUUUCCGCAAUGGGCUAACGCCUGACGGAGCAAUGCCGCGUGGAGGAGGAAGGCCUGUGGGUCGUAAACUCCUUUUCUCAGAGAAGAAGAUCUGACGGUAUCUGAGGAAUAAGCAUCGGCUAACUCUGUGCCAGCAGCCGCGGUAAUACAGGGGAUGCAAGCGUUAUCCGGAAUUAUUGGGCGUAAAGCGUCCUGAGGUGGCUUACCCAGUCGACUGUGAAAGCUCAAGGCUCAACCUUGAAACGGCAGUCGAAACUUGUAAGCUUGAGUACGGUAGAGGCAGAGGGAAUUCCCGGAGGAGAGGUGAAAUUCGUAGAUAUCGGGAGGAAGGCCAAAGGCGAAAGCACUCUGCUGGGCCGAUUACUGACACUGACAGACGAAAGCUAGGGGAGCGAAAGGGAUUAGAUACCCCUGUAGUCCUAGCCGUAAACGAUGGAUACUAAGUGUUGCGCGACUCAACUCGUGCAGUGCUGCAGCUAACGCGGUAAGUAUCCCGCCUGGGGAGUAUGCUCGCAAGAGUGAAACUCAAAUGAAUUGACGG